ACCCCACUGCUAUCGGGAUAGGACUAAGACAUGCUAGUUGAGCGCUUCCAGCCAACACGGGAGCGCAGCGCACAGCUCAGUAACACGUGGCUAAUCUGCCCUUGGGACCGGAACACCCCCGGGAAACUGGGGCUAAUUCUCGAUAGGUGAAGAACUCUGGAAUGAGUCUUUGCUUAAAAGACGUUUGCGUUAUGCUCGUAGACGUCGCCCAAGGAUGAGGCCGCGACCGAUCAGGUUGUUGGUGAGGUAAUGGCUCACCAAGCCUUUUACCGGUGCGGGCCGUGAGAGCGGGAGCCCGGAGAUGGGCACUGAGACAAGGGCCCAGGCCCUACGGGGCGCAGCAGUCGCGAAAACUUUGCAAUACACGAAAGUGUGACAGGGCUAUCCCGAGUGCCAUCCGCUGAGGAAGGCUUUUACCCAGUCUAGAACGCUGGGGGAAUAAGGAGAGGGCAAGUCUGGUGUCAGCCGCCGCGGUAAUACCAGCUCUCCGAGUGGUGUGGAUGUUUAUUGGGCCUAAAGCAUCCGUAGCUGGCUAAGUUAGUCCCUUGUUAAAUCCACCGAAUUAAUCGUUGGAUUGCGGGGGAUACUGCUUGGCUAGGGGACGAGAGAGGCAGACGGUAUUUCCGGGGUAGGGGUGAAAUCCUAUAAUCCCGGGAAGACCACCAGUGGCGAAGGCUGUCUGCUAGAACGCGCCCGACGGUGAGGGAUGAAAGCUGGGGGAGCGAACCGGAUUAGAUACCCGGGUAGUCCCAGCUGUAAACGAUGCAGGCUAGGUGUUUGGACGGCCACGUGCCGUUCUAGUGCCGCAGGGAAGCUGUUAAGCCUGCCGCCUGGGGAGUACGAUCGCAAGAUUGAAACUUAAAGGAAU
rnacentral:rRNA from 1 species